rnacentral:rRNA from 1 species
UACGUAGUUGGCGAGCGUUGUCCGGAUUUACUGGGCGUAAAGAGCGCGCAGGCGGUCGUACAAGUCGCGUGUGAAAGCCCCCGGCUCAACUGGGGAGGGUCACGCGAUACUGUUCGACUCGAAGGCAGGAGAGGGAAGUGGAAUUCCCGGUGUAGUGGUGAAAUGCGUAGAUAUCGGGAGGAACACCAGUGGCGAAGGCGACGUCCUGGCCUGUUCUUGACGCUGAGGCGCGAAAGCUAGGGUAGCAAACGGG